CUCUUUUGUCUGCACACAGAGCUUUUUAUGUCUGACUCUUUCUCGAUUUUCAUGUAUCAGAAUUUCCUUUCUUAAAUGUAAAAUACCAUAGAGAGGUUAUCAGAAGCAUGUGUCUCAAUCCAUUUUCAAAUGUCUUCACUAAUUUAGAAACUGUGGUUACUGAAUAAACAUUCCCUACACUAGCUCAUCGUCCUUUCUCUCCCAAUUUCUAAUCAUGUUGUAUGUUUGAAUUUGAAUUUGGAUUCAAACCAAUUCAAAUCUCAUCUUUGUUCAUAUCAAAGCUCUCUAACUUUGGACCGCUAUCUGCUCCGUGUAUAUUUGAAUUUUGAUGUUGUACUUGCUUGGUUUGUUUUUCGGUUCACAUCCUCUCAUGUUAGUGUCGAACUUAAGCAUGUGGUGAUGAUUAGGAAGAAAUUUAAUGAGAGGAGUUUGGUAGAGGUUGAGGAGAAGAGUAAUAAAUCAGAAUCUAUUAUGAGUGAAAAAGGUUUAAAACAUUUGGAUAUAUUCAAAUGACCAAGGUGCAAGAUGGAACAAUUACUGCUUGCCUUGAAAAUAUGUUUGCUAUUAAAAUAAAGAUGUAAUAUUUUAAUACUAACCAUCGUCUUUAGCCAUGUGUCUAAUUUGUUGUUCAUCCAUACUGUUUAAUAAUGUUUUAGCCAAGAUACAGGUCGCAAUUGUGGUCAUCACUUUCAUUUUUGUAAGUACACACUAAAUAAUUUAAAGGAUGUAUGUUUAUGGUAACACCC